GACAGAGGGUGCAAACGUUGUUCGGAAUUACUGGGCGUAAAGCGUGCGCAGGCGGUUCGCUAAGACAGAUGUGAAAUCCCCGGGCUUAACCUGGGAACUGCAUUUGUGACUGGCGGGCUAGAGUAUGGCAGAGGGGGGUAGAAUUCCACGUGUAGCAGUGAAAUGCGUAGAGAUGUGGAGGAAUACCGAUGGCGAAGGCAGCCCCCUGGGCCAAUACUGACGCUCAUGCACGAAAGCGUGGGGAGCAAACAGG
rnacentral:rRNA from 1 species